GACGAACGCUGGCGGCGUGCUUAACACAUGCAAGUCGAACGGAAAGGCCCCUUCGGGGGUACUCGAGUGGCGAACAGGUGCGUAACACGUGAGUAACCUGCCCUUGACUUCGGGAUAACUUCAGGAAACUGGGGCUAAUACCGGAUAGGAAUCCUUGCUGCAUGGUGGGGGUUGGAAAGCUUCGGCGGUUUUGGAUGGACUCGCGGCUUAUCAGCUUGUUGGUGGGGUAGUGGCUUACCAAGGCUUUGACGGGUAGCCGGCCUGGGAGGGCGACCGGCCACAUUGGGACUGAGAUACGGCCCAGACUCCUACGGGAGGCAGCAGUGGGGAAUAUUGCACAAUGGGCGGAAGCCUGAUGCAGCAACGCCGCGGGCGGGAUGACGGCCUUCGGGUUGUAAACCGCUUUCAGCAGGGGCGAAGCUUGUGGUGACGGUACCUGCAGAAGAAGCACCGGCUAACUACGUG
rnacentral:rRNA from 1 species